AGCAGCCGCGGUAAUUCCAGCUCCAAUAGCGUAUAUUAAAGUUGUUGCAGUUAAAAAGCUCGUAGUUGAAUUUCGGGAUUGACACAUCGGUCGUGCCUUAAGGGGUAUGAACUGGCGUAGUCAAUUUCUCACCUUCUGGAGAACCGCAAUGCCCUUAAUUGGGUGUCGCGGGGAACCAGGACCUUUACUUUGAAAAAAUUAGAGUGUUUAAAGCAGGCAUUUUGCUUGAAUACAUUAGCAUGGAAUAAUAAAAUAGGACGGCAUGAUUCUAUUUUGUUGGUUUUUCAGGAUCACCGUAAUGAUUAAUAGGGAUAGUUGGGGGCAUUAGUAUUCAAUUGUCGGAGGUGAAAUUCUUGGAUUUUAUUGAAGACUAACUACUGCGAAAGCAUUUGCCAAGGAUGUUUUUCAUUAAUCAAGAACGAAAGUUAGGGGGAUCGAAGACGAUCAGAUACCGUCGUAGUCUUAACCAUAAACUAUGCCGACUAGGAAUCAGACGAUGUUAAUUUUUUUCAAUGACUCG
rnacentral:rRNA from 1 species